rnacentral:rRNA from 1 species
AUUGAACGCUGGCGGCAGGCCAAACACAUGCAAGUCGAGCGGUUGAGGUAGCUUGCUACCGAUGCAGCGGCGGACGGGUGAGUAAUACAUGGGAAUCUGCCUGGUAGUGGGGGACAACGUUUCGAAAGGAACGCUAAUACCGCAUACGCCCUACGGGGGAAAGGGGGGGAUCGCAAGACCUCUCGCUAUCAGAUGAGCCC